ensembl:lncRNA
UCACAUAGGCUGGGCUGAGGCCAGAGAUCCCGGGGUGAGCACCUGGUGCUCCUGACACACAGCAAGCUCUCACCAGUGUGUUAUUUCCCCACAUCGACCCGAGGCCUGUUCCCCAGGGUCUGAAGGGCAAGUUUCCUUGUGAUCACUCCAGGUGGGGAGUGUGCACCAUCCCUGUGAUCAAUGGAAAGCACUUGUGUUAAUUUAUAAACCUGGGCACAGAGCAGCAGGAGACAUGGAGCGGUUCUGUGUAAAGUCCACAAGUGAUUCUGAAUAUUCGUUUAUUUAAUCUUUUCUCAAUUUAUUUCUACCACGUAUACCUCUAAAUAUGUGUCCUUUCUUAAAUUUAUACAGUGCUAACAGAUGUUUUAAAAUUUAUGUUUCUGAGCAUUUACUGAAUCAAGCAGCCAUGUGCCCCCCGCCCAGUCUACUGACCUGAGCGCAGGUCUACCGUGUUGAGCAGCACACUCUCUGAGCCUCAGAUCCCCUGUUUAGAGAUGGUGAACUCUCCACUCAGAGGUGAGAACACUCUGCAGAAACGCUCUAGCUACGUUCAUUAGUUUUGGAAAACCACAGAAGAAAUGCCCCUGAGAGCCCAGGGGAGAGAGAAAUGGACGACGAAGCUAGAAGGAAAUUCCACAUCUCUGAGAUGAAGAGAAGACACUAAGGCACAAAUAAAUACAUAAAUAAGCGUUAUGAUCCCUAAGAUUGGAAAUGAUGUGAAGAGUAAACACAUCAGAACCAUUAAAGAGAUGUGCCAGAUGCAAAUAAGAAAGAAGCCCCAACCUUGGCAGAAGAGGAAGUUCAAGGAAACGUGGGCUCCGGCUCUGAGCCCGGGAACGCAGGAUCACAGGGCGGCAGCUGAACCUGUGCAGGAGGCGAGCUCAGCGCGGUCGUGAAGGCACCUUCGCCUGCUGUCCCGACUCCUGUCCUAUGACAAGAGCUGCUCUGACUAACGCACACACAGGCCUGCAGCCGUCACACACCACCCCGCGUCUCAGUGGCUUAAAACCACUGUGCGUUUCUCACCCGCGCCUCACGUCCCUCCUGGACUGACAGCGGUGCUCCGCUCGGCACGGGCUCCAGGACGCAGGCUGCUGCGGCCAGUCACCACGCCACUGGGAGGGGGGUGCGGAGGAGCUGGACAAGGAAGUCAGAAGUGCCUCGGGCCGCCUCGAGUCAGCAACCCCAUCGUCCCAGGCGGUGAGACCAACUCCAAGACCCGGGCUCGCCCUGCACUGUGAGGCCCAGAGGAGGGGGCCUCAGGGGCAGACAGGGUCUGGGAGGGCUCCCCAGGGGUCUCAGGGGAGGACCGCCUUGCAGGUAAAGGGGAGCUGGGGGAAGGCCCAGCCUCCGACGUUUCUGGAGGUGCGGAGGUCUCAGUGCCCCGCAGGGCUCAGCCUGUGCCUUGGGUUCCUGCUUCUCCGCUGCUGGUGUGGAUUCUCCCCAGCAGCACCGAGGGGGGACCGCAGGGUCGUGGGGUCGAGGGGGGUGACAGGACGGACCUGUCACCACGGGAGUGCGCUCGCCUCCUCUGGACCCAGGACCGUGAGGCGGUUGUGACCCCAUCUCAGGCCUUCCUUCUGGGAGACGUCCCGCCAGUCUCUCCUUCUGAUUCCAGAGCUUUGCGUGUCAUUAGGCAGCAUCCCUGGUUUCCAGAUCGAGUGGAGAAGCACAGGCUGUCUGACACCUCACGAAGUCUGUGGAUGACUCACCAGCUUCGGAGUUCACAGAGCAGGUUAAAAUUUCAAAUUCCCUCAGAGCCUCCAGACGUUCUGGAGCUCAGUAUGUUUUAUCUUCAAUCAACGCACAAACCCCGCAUCUUCACGCGGAGACACUCAGGCCUCAGGCUUCCAACUACGAAAGCACCACCUUGAGGAGGACGUCACGGUGGACCCGGAGAGGCGCUGGCCCGUGGCUGGGCUGUGGGGAGACUGGUGGGAAUCCACGGGACAAGGGGCGGGAUGGCCAAGCUCUGCCCGGGACAGUCCGGGUGGCCUUAGUCCGCGGGUCUCCAGCUCUGUCCAGGACUGUCCGGGUGGCCUCAGUCCCGUGGGUCUCAUGCUCUGGCUGAGGUCGGCGGGUCUGGAAGCCGCAGGUCCAGGACCGGAAGUCAGGAGGAAAGGCCACAGGCCACGUCCCCGCCUCUCCUCCCGUCAGGGUCUCUGUUUGGGGCAGCCGGGGCCUCGGGACAGUGACCUAGACUCCCUGUAGGACACCGGGAGUGGCCUCCAGCAUCCCCCUCUUCUUCCAGGAGCCCCCAGCUUUCAUCAGGAAUCCGCCAUCCCCCCAUCCCACCCAGACCAGUGAUCCUGGAUGGGCUCCCUUGGCUCCAGGGGGCGCUGUGAUCUCGUCAGUUCAAGCGAAGGUGGGCCCUGGCUGCAGUGAUUGGUUCAGGGAUGUCACAUGACCUGGGUGUGUCCAAUCAGAGUGAAGGUCUGGACUUGCCUGCCAGCCAACAGGAAAGGUUCUUACACUAUCCACUGGCUGUGUCCUGACUGCCGGGAUUGGUUCAGGGACGUCAUAUGACCUCCGCCUGUCCAAUCAGAGUGAGUGUCAGGAGCAGCCAGGCUAACAGGAAAGCCUUGGCCGUGAGAGGAGGUGAGGACGGCGCUCCGCCACCAUCUUGUCGCCGUCGAGGGGCCUAGAGGUGUCAGAUGAGAGAGAUGGGGUCCCGUUCAUGAAGCCAGACGGCCGAGGUGCAAACCAGAGUCCGUGACGUCGUGGAGCCCUGGAUCUGGGGUCCCGAGGGGCCUGCCCACCGCUGCCCCGGCCCGCGGAGCGGACGCAGCCGUCUCUCAGCCGGUGGGCGGCCGAGGGCCUGUCGUCGCCGCGAGCUACGCCUGGUCGGAGGGCGGCUUGGCCUCGAGAGCAGCCCCGCCGAGGCCCGGCCCCAGAAGACAGGGCAGGGCGGUGAGGCGGGCGGUGGGUACGGACGUCGCGGCGGCUCCUGCGGUCCCCGCGACCCAGGACGGCCCGAGGCCGGCGUGUCCGAGUCUCCGCCGGCCCACCUCUCUGCCCUCGGCCCACGGCGGCAGCGUGUGACGGGGCCGCUCCCGGACAGUCCCGGGGAGCUGGUGGGAGGACCACCCGACGCCGCAGGAAGUGGAUCCGGUCAGCAAGACGCGUGACACGGCCAAAAACAAGGAAAAACAACUGAAGUUACAUGGGGAUCUGGAAUUAGAACAGCCUGCCUCAAAAUUGAACAGAAGGUGUUUUCAGAUCGUCCCCAAGCCAGCUAAGGAAAUGUUCGAGCAGCAGUAAUAUGGCCCUCACCUACAAUAAAGAACGGGAGGCCUGGGGAUUCAUUUCCGGGAGAAAAUGCUUCAUGCAGAUGGCUAGGCAUCUCGUGCUGAAGAAUCUGUAAAUUAAGGGAAACUUUGGAAUUAAAAUAAACACUGAUUUGAUCUGUUCCCUUCAUAUUCCCCAAUCUUUUCCUGCCCUUUUCUCAGGUAGAGACAAUUGAUCAAGUCUAGAAUGUACUUAAGGGUAUAGAAUCCUUGACUAGAAAUUAAUAAUCAUUGGGGAAUGGGGUACAGAGAGGUGAUAGGGAUGGGGAGGAUUUCCCAGCUGUAUGCCAAUGAGAUGGCUCCAACUGGGAUAAUAUUCAGCAGGGCGUUGGACCAUCAGAAUAGAACAUGGACACUCAGACACCUCUCAUGAACCCAGCACAAACACAGCAGUGCGUCCAGCUGAGUAUCUGUCCAGGGGUCAUAAUCCCAGGCCACAUUGCUUGUCCCGCCACCCCAAGGAGGUGGGUCAGGAGAUGAGGUACCUGAAGGAGCCAAGACCAAGCCCCUCUUCUGCCUACAUGACUGGACACUCAGUUUGAGAGAGGACUGUGUGGUGGGACAGCAGCCCAAGUAUGUGUUCUGUCUGUCUGUCUGUGCAGGAGCCUCAGAGACCUCAAGCAGCCUCAGGCUGCAAAGCCAGCUCCUGUCCUCCUCAGACUGGGGUUGACUCCAGGACUAGCUGAUGCUUACAGCCACAGAAAGAGACGUAGUCCCCAAGAGCUAACAGUGUAAUUUGAGCGAAUUAAUUUUUAAUAGUCAAUUGAUGCUUAUUGUAGAAGAUGAUUAGUUCUCACUGGUCCCACUAUGUGUCUCACUGGUCCAAUGUGAGAUUGUGGGAAGAAUAUCAUUUAGUUGCAUCCAAUAUGAGUUUCCUGAAGACUUUAUGGCUAUUUUUCAAGUUAUCGUCUGGGGAUAAAUUUAUGGCAUUGUGCACUGGGCCCUGGAUGUACUGGGCUCCCUGUUGGGCUUGGGCACAGAGCAGAAUGGGGAAGAGUUGUAGGGAGCGGCCCUCGUGCCCCAAGCUGAUUGGCAAAAAUGAGAAAUACUGAUAAUAUCAAGUAUUAGCGAGGUGAGGAAACAGGACUCUUACGCUCCGUUUGUGAGAAUGGAAGUGUGAAUAGCCUUCUGUGGAGAGCAGUCUGGGUGUAUCUGUUAGGACAAGAGUCCACACGCCCUGUGCGUCACCAGUUGCGCUUCGCAGAACCGACCCUAGAGAAACGCUCACAUGUGGACAGAGGAGGCAAGAACUAGAAUAUCCACUGCAGUUGUUGACUGAAAUCGUG